AUAAAGGUCAGGAAGUAGUAACAAGGAUAUUUUUUCAGAGAGAGACUGGUUGCUGUGAAGUCUUAAAGUGGAAUUGCGAACUUGUCCUGGUAUUGAAACCUAUCGUCGCUAUCCGCGUUAAGGAGCAAUUAAGUGUCACAGAUUGUGAAACUUAGGUGGUACCGCGAUAACUCGUCCUAUGA
rnacentral:ncRNA from 1 species